CAUUCCUGUAGUUAAAUUUUAUAACGGCGGCUUUUCAGGUCGUAGGUCUCGGAAAGAAGCCGAGUAGGAAUU
rnacentral:tRNA from 1 species